CGCGGCCUAUCAGCUUGUUGGUGAGGUAAUGGCUCACCAAGGCGACGACGGGUAGCCGGCCUGAGAGGGUGACCGGCCACACUGGGACUGAGACACGGCCCAGACUCCUACGGGAGGCAGCAGUGGGGAAUAUUGCACAAUGGGCGCAAGCCUGAUGCAGCAACGCCGCGUGAGGGAUGACGGCCUUCGGGUUGUAAACCUCUUUUAGUAGGGAAGAAGCGAAAGUGACGGUACCUGCAGAAAAAGCACCGGCUAACUACGUGCCAGCAGCCGCGGUAAUACGUAGGGUGCAAGCGUUAUCCGGAAUUAUUGGGCGUAAAGAGCUCGUAGGCGGUUUGUCGCGUCUGCUGUGAAAACUGGAGGCUCAACCUCCAGCCUGCAGUGGGUACGGGCAGACUAGAGUGCGGUAGGGGAGAUUGGAAUUCCUGGUGUAGCGGUGGAAUGCGCAGAUAUCAGGAGGAACACCGAUGGCGAAGGCAGAUCUCUGGGCCGUAACUGACGCUGAGGAGCGAAAGCAUGGGGAGCGAACAGGAUUAGAUACCCUGGUAGUCCAUGCCGUAAACGUUGGGAACUAGAUGUAGGGACCAUUCCACGGUUUCUGUGUCGCAGCUAACGCAUUAAGUUCCCCGCCUGGGGAGUACGG
rnacentral:rRNA from 1 species